AUGGUUUUGUAGUUUAUAAGAAUGAUGAUUAGGUUUUCAUAAGCAUGUGUAAGAUGUGUUCCUCAAAUCUUACUUGAACCUCAGUAUAUUACUUGUUUGAUG